UCAGAAGACGACGGCCGAUCGAAGAGGAAAUGGUUGAGGUUGAGGCAUUCUGUAUGCAUGCAUGGCAUGCGUACCGGUGGUUUCGUGGGACGUCUGGCCGAAGAAGGCGGCGAGCUCCCGCCUGCGCGUCUGCUCGUCGCCGGUGGUGCCGAAGCCGGGGAACUUGCUGGCGGCCUCGAUGAAGGCGUCGUAGGUGUAGAAGGCGCCCUGGCACCCGCUAUCGCCGCGGUGGCUCAGCAUGCUCUGGAACAUGGGACGAGUGAUGAUGCUCCACACGCCCUGCUGCGCGCUGGCGCCGCCGACGCCGACGCCGAGCAGCGCGGCGCCUGCCACGAACAGCACCGUCGCUAAAGCCCUCGUCCACA
rnacentral:misc_RNA from 1 species